GGACUCGAGGCCGGCCAGAUGUGGACUAUUCUAGUCUAGCUUUGGUCUUUGGAGAUUUAGAAUCUAGAUCCAUCGUCGGGUAAAAGCGGACCUGGAGUCUCCAGCUGAAGGAAUCCUGGAGUAUGAGAGUGAACGGAGCUCUGCGGCUUUGCUUUUUGUUGUUGGGACUAUGUCAGGCCUGCCGUGCCCGUCCACCUGGUGGUCCCUACACAACACGAGAGGUAGGUGAGGUCCCCGUGUCCCAGCUGAGGAUGCUCUCGCUGGGACUGGCUCACCUGCUGCAGGGGUUGGUGGAGAACGUGGAGCAGCUGGAGCUGCGGGGGAAGCUGGUGGCAGCAGGGCUGGACGAGGCUGCCGAGAGUCUCGAGAGCCUUCGCAAGCAGAGUUUACAGGCGGGACGGACUCACAGGCAGGCGAGGAAGGAUUUGCAGAUACUGACUGCGAGGGGGGACGGGCUGUGGAGGGCAGCCACAGAUCUACAGGAGGAGCUGGUGGAUGGGCAGAGGGAGCGGAAAGCCAUGCAGCGCCGCACAAACAGGAUCAUCCAGAAAGUUAAGAGCCGGACCGAGCCGAGGUCCGUGAAGGACAUCAUGGACCAACAGGCCCGGAGGCUCGCCACUCUUACCUCAGAGGUCUCAGCCCGAGACAGAAUGAUUGACAGGCGCCUGCGGCACAUCAACCAACUGGAGAAACGACCACACCUUAAAUUCUCCAGACCUCGUCACUGCCGUGUUCCCUCUACCCACCAGACGUCCUCGGACUUUCCGUCCUAUCAGAUGACUUCCCCGCCCAUCUGUCCACCUGUUCCUACUUUCCUCAUGACAUCGGCCCCUUUCCACUUCCUCGUUGCCAGUUUGUCAAACUUGCUUUGUGCAUUUGGUUUCUCGUAUUUGCAAUCUCGUUUACUGGAUCCUUUGCACCUUCUGCCUGAUGCUCUGACUGUGUUUUUCCUAACGCUCAUUGAUAAGUUUGCCUUUCAUAUGACCUCACACAUUUUUGCAAUUUCCCCAUCAAAUCAACCAACAGAUGCUUCCUGCUUCCGUUUGCGUUUGGGCCCUUUCCUCGUCACCAAUGUAAACAUACUCUGA
ensembl:lncRNA